CCCCCCCCCCCCCCCCCCCGGUCACCGACGGAACUGCAGCGGCGGCGCUAAUGAGGGGGCGUUAAUGAGGUUCCAUUAACGGGGGUCUUCAUUAGGGGCUGAUAAUGAGGGAGGGGCGGAAUGAGGGGCGUUAACGAAGGGAGGUGCCAAUGAGGGGGCUUAAUGAGGGGCAGCAUUAAUGGGAAGGUUAAUGAAGGAGCAUUAAUGAGGAAGGUUAAUGAGCUGACCUGGGCGGAUGGGAGGCUCCUUACUCCAAUUAACAGGCAGGCCCAUCCCCACUAAUGAGUAAUUCAGAGCAGCAGGAGCCCAGCUAAUUGCUGCCAUCAGCCAUAUAUUAACAUAUGCUAAUGAGCUAGUGUAAUUAAACAGGAGAUUGUUAAUGGAACGGGGAUAGGCGGGAUGAACUGACAGGCACGAAGGACAGAGCAGGGAUUAUUGGGGGGCUGGGCUUCAUUAGUUUAAUUAAGGGGGUUAAUUAACCUGCCCUUGUGCAAGGACUCAGCCCCGCCCUCCUGUCAAUCACUGAGAAACCACGCCCAUCCUGUGUCAAUCUCGCUCGGCCCCGCCCCUCGGCCGUGAACAUGAAUGAACAGCUGGAGGGGGCGGGGCGAUAUUUGGAUUGACAGCAGCAAUGGCCAAUGGGGAGCGGCGGGGCGGGACUGACGGCAGUGCAGCCAAUGGGGAGCGGCAGGGCGGGACUGGCGGCUGCAAUGGCCAAUGACCAGCGGCGAGGACGGGCCUCCUUGGCCAAUGAGGAGUUGCUGAUGCUCAGUCCAACCAAUGAGCGGCGGGAGCGGGGGAGGGGCGGGGCCGCAGGAGCACCGUGCCCGUGAGGGGAAAGGCGGCGGGAGCAGGAGAAAGGUGAGGGGAUAUCGAGAUAUCGCGAUAGACACAGGGAUACACGCAGGGAUCUCGGCAUAGCGGGUACAGGGGAAAGCUGGAGAGCGAUGAGCGGAACACCGCGAUGUCGCGAUGUCGGGACAUCGGGCUAGCCGAGCGCAGGGUCGGAGGCUGAGCGGGACACCCGAUACCGGGAGGAGAACGUNGGCGUGGUUUCGGUACCAUUGUGGGCGGGGUCUCUCUCCGCUCCGGGCGUGGUUUCUGUCCCGUUGUGGGCGUGGUUUCUGUC
rnacentral:lncRNA from 1 species